GCAUAUCAAUAAGCGGAGGAAAAGAAACUAACAAGGAUUCCCUUAGUAACGGCGAGUGAAGCGGGAAGAGCUCAAAUUUGAAAUCUUCAAGGUUCUACCUUGACGAAUUGUAGUUUAAAGAAGUGUUUUCUGUUAGAUGAGUAGCAAAAGUUCCUUGGAAUGGGACAUCAUAGAGGGUGAGAAUCCCGUAUUUGGUUAUUCAUUCUAGCUUUGUGAUACACUCUCAAAGAGUCGGAUUGUUUGGGAAUGCAGUCCAAAAUGGGUGGUAAAUUUCAUCUAAAGCUAAAUAUUGGCGAGAGACCGAUAGCGAACAAGUACCGUGAGGGAAAGAUGAAAAGAACUUUGAAAAGAGAGUUAAACAGUACGUGAAAUUGUCAAAAGGGAAGCGUUUGACACCAGUGUUGUUUUUCCGAAAAUCAAUUACGAAUGGCUUGAUUUUGUGUUGUAUUGACCUUAUCAGCUUUCUUCACUUUCUUCGAGUCUUUCUUAAUGCACUUUUCGGUUAACAAGUCAACAUCAAUUUCUUUUGUUGUAAAAGAGUAUUCGGAAGGUGGCUUUCUUUUCGGAGAAAGUGUUUAUAGCCCUAUACUUCUACAAUCGGAGAGAUUGAGGUCUGCAGCGUAGAUCCUUCGGGGUUAGAUACACUUGUGCUAAGUUGUAGCUUUUCAUAGACAACUUGUUGACUAUGUUUAGUCAUGCGGCUUACUCGCUUGUGCUAUUUUACCUACGCUUAGGAUGUUGACAAAAUGGUUUUAAACGACCCGUCUUGAAACACGGACC
rnacentral:rRNA from 1 species